UGGCGUAAGGGUGAGUAAUGCAUUGAUAACCUACCUCCAAGAUGGGAAUAACAACGUUCCAAGCAAUUGGGGCUACCGAAAGGGUUGCUAAUACUCAAUAAAAUUAUUGUUGCUUCGGCAAUAAUAGUCAAAUAGGCGGAAUCGAAAGGUUCCGCUUGCUUGAAGAGGGGUCAAUGUCCUAUCAGCUAGUUGGUGGGGUAAUAGCCCACCAAGGCAAAGACGGGUAGCCGGCCUGAGAGGGUGGUCGGCCACACUGGGACUGAGAUACUGCCCAGACUCCUACGGGAGGCUGCAGUCGAGAAUCUUUCGCAAUGCCCGAAAGGGUGACGAAGCGACGCCGCGUGCGGGAGGAAGGCCUUCGGGUUGUAAACCGCUGUCGGGAGUUAAGAAAUGCAAGGAUGUUAAUAGCGUUCUUGCUUGACUAAGGCUCCGGAGGAAGCCACGGCUAACUCUGUGCCAGCAGCCGCGGUAAUACAGAGGCGGCAAGCGUUGUUCGGAAUUAUUGGGCGUAAAGAGCACGUA
rnacentral:rRNA from 1 species